GGGAGGCCGCCGCCGGGAGCGCGGACAGUCGGGCCCAGGCGGGGCCCACCGCGCCCCGAGGGAUGCAGGGAGGGGAUGGCGCGGCUGUGCUCACCUGCCCGUCUCACGGCCCACCCGCUCCGGCGGUCCGCGUGGGCCUCCGCCUCCCCCGUCGACGGGCACUCAGGACCCGGGCCGCCCUCCCCUCCGGCGAGGGACUGUGGGGCCAGGAGCGUAGCCAGGGCCAUACUGCUCGGGCUCCGUCCUCACGCGCGCGUCAGCCGGUGCUCCUGAGGGAAGCCAGUGGCACCCUGCGGACAACCCGCGCCUGCCAUCCCCCAAGCCCGGGUGACGGCAGCGCCCCCUUGGGGGCCCAGGACCCACAGGAAGCAGCAGCCGCCAGAACGCAAAGGAACGCCAACAAAGGCGAAGGUACGUGAACGCGAACGGUCCGCAGCCCUGGCCGCCCGACGGGAAGCACCGCGCAGAGCGGACGCUGCGGAGCGCCGCACACGGUCCCGUCUCAGCAGACGCAGCACGCAUGACGCCGGCGGGCGAGCACAGGGCAGCCACUCGCAGUCCACAGCCACGCGACGGUCCAGACGCGCCCCCACCCCCACCCCAUCGCCUCUUCCAGGGUCGCGUCCAUCCCGGCGUGCGGCCUUGAGACCCCGGAUGCUACCUGCCCGCCGGGGGCGCGGGGGCUCCUGGGCCUCUGCGGAGAGACCCCGGAUCCCCGUGUCCCUGAGUCCCUACUUCACUCUGGCUCCACGUGCGGCCCCGCCCCUAUGGCCGCCACCCACCCGCCCGCCCCUCGCCUCCCAGCGCUCUCAGUCGCCCCGCCUCUGCUCCCUCAGCGCCUCCUCGCUCCACAUGGCCCCUCCGCCCUCCCCUUAGGCCCUCGGCUCUUUCCCUCAUUCCUCAGCCCUCCCCGCCCAACAGUGGCUCUUUCCCUGGAUCCUCCGCCCUGUCGUCGGCGCUCGGUCCUUUCCGUAGACACUUGGCCCUCCCUUCCCCACCUGGCUCGGUAGAAGCUCUGCCCCUCAGACACUCGCGGCCCUUUCUGUCUCCCCUCUGCUCUUUCCUUCAGGACUCUGUGACUCGGACAAGCUCCGCGCCAUCGGCCAGCUGUCAGUUGUUUCCAUCUCCGCCAGGGUUCUGCGAUUGUCGGUUCUUUCCGUCGACCCCCGGCUCCCUGCCCGGAUGUGUUAGUCUCAGUUCAGGCUCAGCCCGCGGGAGGUGCUCGUGUGCGCUGGGCGGUGGCUGUGUCUGUUCUGAAAUUGCAGCUCACGGAGAACUGUGCGCCAGGCAUUUGAUCCUCCAUCUCCCUUUGUCACUCAUUUUUUGAACACAAGAACGAUGAAGGAAACCUUUAAAAGCUACAUGGAAUUGCUUGUCAGUAUUGCCCUGGACCCCGACAUGAUGCAAGCCCUAGAGAAGAGCAACAGUAUAUAGUCUGCUGAGUAGCACUUCCUGGGUCUUUGUUGUUCUUCUCUGUUAGUUGUGCAUUUAAUGUAUGUUUUUUGUCAGUUAACAAAUUCAUGAUAUAUUGAUUCUAUACAAUGGUCAUAUCUUUUCAUGAAUUAUCUGAAUAUUUGAAUAACUGUAUGUUGAAUGUAUUUUUACUGAUCUCUACUCAUGGGAAAAUUAUGUAACUAUCUGCUAGUUUCUUUCAAUUUUAAGAAUCUUUAUGAGCUUUACAAUAUUUCACUCAGUGUCUGUAUUACACGCAGGGUCCAGAUGUCACUAUAUUGUGUUUUCUAAUAAUUAGAUGAACUGGAUAAUAAUGGUGUAAAGAUUAAAAUUGUAUAUUUGUGUCCAGUAAAAGCUAUAUCACAAAGUAAUUAUUUCCUAAUCAGUUAGUACUAAAACAAUAUAUGCAUUGUCUUAUAUUCAUUAAUAUUAUUCCUUUAUACUCUUGCUUUAUUAAUCUUUCUUAUAGUAAAGUAGGGAUGAAGUUGAAAUAUAAAUAAACUAUAUAAAAUAUA